UGGGGAAUAUUGCACAAUGGGCGCAAGCCUGAUGCAGCCAUGCCGCGUGUGUGAAGAAGGCCUUCGGGUUGUAAAGCACUUUCAGCGGGGAGGAAGGGAGUAAAGUUAAUACCUUUGCUCAUUGACGUUACCCGCAGAAGAAGCACCGGCUAACUCCGUGCCAGCAGCCGCGGUAAUACGGAGGGUGCAAGCGUUAAUCGGAAUUACUGGGCGUAAAGCGCACGCAGGCGGUCUGUCAAGUCGGAUGUGAAAUCCCCGGGCUCAACCUGGGAACUGCAUUCGAAACUGGCAGGCUAGAGUCUUGUAGGGGGGGGUAGAAUUCCAAGUGUAGCGGUGAAAUGCGUAGAGAUCUGGAGGAAUACCGGUGGCGAAGGCGGCCCCCUGGACAAAGACUGACGCUCAGGUGCGAAAGCGUGGGGAGCAAACAGG
rnacentral:rRNA from 1 species